rnacentral:rRNA from 1 species
UGGGGAAUUUUGGACAAUGGGCGAAAGCCUGAUCCAGCAAUGCCGCGUGUGUGAAGAAGGCCUUCGGGUUGUAAAGCACUUUUGUCCGGAAAGAAAUCCUUGGCUCUAAUACAGUCGGGGGAUGACGGUACCGGAAGAAUAAGCACCGGCUAACUACGUGCCAGCAGCCGCGGUAAUACGUAGGGUGCAAGCGUUAAUCGGAAUUACUGGGCGUAAAGCGUGCGCAGGCGGUUUGCUAAGACCGAUGUGAAAUCCCCGGGCUCAACCUGGGAACUGCAUUGGUGACUGGCAGGCUAGAGUAUGGCAGAGGGGGGUAGAAUUCCACGUGUAGCAGUGAAAUGCGUAGAGAUGUGGAGGAAUACCGAUGGCGAAGGCAGCCCCCUGGGCCAAUACUGACGCUCAUGCACGAAAAGCGUGGGGAGCAAACAGGAUUAGAUACCCUGGUAGUCCACGCCCUAAAACGAUGUCAACUAGUUGUUGGGGAUUCAUUUCCUAGUAACGUAGCUAACGCGUGAAGUUGACCGCCUGGGGAGUACGGUCGCAAGAUUAAAACUCAAAGGAAUUGACGGGGUCAUAGCUGUUUCCU